rnacentral:rRNA from 1 species
CCUACGGGAGGCAGCAGUGGGGAAUAUUGGGCAAUGGGCGCAAGCCUGACCCAGCAACGCCGCGUGAAGGAUGAAGGUUUUCGGAUUGUAAACUUCUGUCGCGAGGGACGAAGAAUGAUGGUACAUCGUAAGAAAGCAUCUGCUAACUACGUGCCAGCAGCCGCGGUAAUACGUAGGGGGCAAGCGUUGUCCGGAAUGACUGGCCGUAAAGGGAGUGUAGGGGGCCUUGUAAGUUAGAUGUGAAAUCCUACGGCUUAACCAUAGAAUUGCAUCUAAAACUGUGAGGCUUGAGUGCAGGUGAGGUAGGUGGAAUUCCUAGUGUAGCGGUGGAAUGCGUAGAUAUUAGGAGGAACACCAGAGGCGAAGGCGACUCACUGGACUGUAACUGACGCUGAGGCUCGAAAGCGUGGGGAGCAAACAGGAUUAGAUACCCUAGUAGUC